rnacentral:rRNA from 1 species
ACUAACAUGCCGCUGACCUUUAGCCUGAGCAGUACCAGCGCACUUUAAACUCAAAGAAUUUGGCGGCACCCACACCUGUUAGAGGAGCCUGCCCCGUAAACGAUGGUCCACGAUACUCGGUACCACCCCUAAUAGUUUGUAUACCGCCGUGUAGGGUUUGCUCUCAAGCACGCCCGAAAUCAUGUACGUGAAAAUCUCAGGUCAAGGUGCAGCCAACGGGGUGGAGGAGGUGGGCUACAUCGGCAAGAGCCGCGGAUGCGUUACGUAAGUUUGCGCCGAAGACGGAUUUAACAGUAAGAGUUUGUAUUCAAGUCUGAAUAGGUACCA